AUUGAACGCUGGCGGCAUGCCUUACACAUGCAAGUCGAACGGCAGCACGGGAGCAAUCCUGGUGGCGAGUGGCGAACGGGUGAGUAAUAUAUCGGAACGUGCCCAGUCGUGGGGAUAACGUAGCGAAAGCUACGCUAAUACCGCAUACGAUCUACGGAUGAAAGCGGGGGAUCGCAAGACCUCGCGCGAUUGGAGCGGCCGAUAUCAGAUUAGGUAGUUGGUGAGGUAAAGGCUCACCAAGCCGACGAUCUGUAGCUGGUCUGAGAGGACGACCAGCCACACUGGGACUGAGACACGGCCCAGACUCCUACGGGAGGCAGCAGUGGGGAAUUUUUGGACAAUGGGCGCAAGCCUGAUCCAGCAAUGCCGCGUGCAGGAUGAAGGCCUUC
rnacentral:rRNA from 1 species